AGUCCUUGGGAGGCAGAAUUCACUCCACAAUCCCAAGGGACUUGCUCUAUCUGUCAGUGCAGGCCAGCUGUGGGAAUCCUCCAAGUCCCUUUAUCCUGUUCUGUGUGUCAAGGCCCUGUGGCUGACCACGAGUGCCCCGAGCUGCCAUGGACCCUUCUUGCAAGGGCAAUUGUUUUCAGAGUCAGCGUAGGUGCUGGCUACCUUUGGAAAAGUGUGAAUACCCCGGGGAAAUCCGUGGGGCAGACACCUUGGGCCAUACUGUGUGCUGGCACCAUCAGCAGGCAUGAUACAGACAGAGGUGCUUUGCUUUUGGUGUGAAACCUUGCUCUGAUGAUGCGUCAUUCCAAGGAAAACAGCCGGAAUUGGCAGGCCAGGUCAUGUGGUGAGAUGAGUAAUUCCAGCUCCCUUACUGGACCUGAUUUAUACAGCUCAGGUCCAAUAGUUCUGAGAAAUUGUUGAUGGUGGGAGCCUUUCUGUUUGUUUGUUUCUCUGGAAACUUGAAGCCUUUCAAAUAAAGAACAAAUGAGGUGUAGGGAAUUUUUAGCUGGGGUAUGUGCUUCAGGAUGUUUGCUGCAUUCAGGCUUCAAGAACACAAAUUCUCUGCAGACAAUCCCACACACAGUGGGGGAAAAAAGGAUAUUGGGCUUGGAAGUGCACCAGGGAGAUGGGACUCAAGUGAGCUUUGAACAGCAAUCAUUGUCAUUAGUGGUGGUGCUGUAAUAUGUGCUUGACUCAAAUCCAGCAUUGCACAGGCAAGAACCUGGUGAAAGCUUUGUAACUUGAUAUUUGUGGUUGUGAUCCGCUGUUGAAUAGGCUAGACAUGAAUAAAAUCAGUAUUUUUUAAAGUGUUGUGUGGGGUUUUUUUAUGUCAAAAAAGGCUGGUUGCCCUCUUGGACUUUAUUGUGUUCAUGUGAAAUGUUUGAUGUGGACUUAAUACGGGUCUGCAGAUUUUUUAGGACAGUCCACGUCCCCUUGCAGAAUUUCACCUUCCUCAGAGGUGGGUGCUGCAGUGCUGCACUGAAUUUCUGCCACAGGGAAAGAUGUGAAGGUAAUUUGCCAUGUUACCCUGCUGGUCCUGCAGGGGUGGUCCCUCUGUGCUGUGACAGCUCCACAGCCUGCCAUCAGGUUGGCGUGAUCUCCUGGCUGGACAUCGGUGCCGGUGAGGGAUGUGUCUGACUCCAUUCCGGCCCUUGCUCGAGGAAAGGUGUGGGUGAAGGUGCUUUUGCAUCUCCCACAUUCUGUGUCUGGUUGGACACCAAGACUAAAGACUGCCAAUUUGGGCACUGCCCAGAGUGUUACCACCUUCCAUGAGACCUGUCCUGCUCCAUCAUGGGCACUGCAUGUGGGAAUGCUCAAUGGCAAUCUCCAAAUUACUCCUCACUCAGCUUUUUCUUGCUUCUGGACUCGGGAGCCACAAAGCCCAGAUGAUUCUUCACUCCCCUCUGGAGGGAAGUUGCUGUCCCAAAGCUAUUGUAAAUGCAGGUGAACCCGGUGGGAAGAAAUGGUGAUGUCUGACUCCAGUUCAGAAGGCUGAAUGAUUUCUUUAUUAUAACUAUACUAUAAUGCAUUCAUAUACUAUUUCAAGGAGAUACUAAAA